ACAAAAAUCACCGUGGCUCAGGCACUUGUGCAGAACCGUUGGGUCCGUGACCUCCGAGGAAGUCUGUCCGCCGAGGCGUUGAGGGAAUACUUUGAGCUCUGGGAAGAAGUCCGCAACAUUCAACUGGACGAACAUGAAGACGACUCAAUUCGAUGGAACCUGAUGGGAGACAGGAGAGAUCCCGAAACCUGCCAGCACCUCCUAUCUUCCUGUCCUCUGACUAACAGAAUAUGUCGCAUGAUCAGAGGGUGGAUCAGCACGCCGUUCCCGCUACCGGAGGAAAACGAAGAAGAUUUCGCUGGUUGGUGGUCUUAG
rnacentral:lncRNA from 1 species